UUCCCUUCUCGCUGCCAGCCAUACCUAGACAGCCCAAACACAGCAGCUCUAUUUCCCCCCCUGCACACCGGUCUCCAAAAACGAACACCCCUUUGCCACAGACCUUCCCCUCUUAGUUGCUCCUCUUCCUCACCGAGAACACUGCCUUCCAGUCCUCACCAGACAAAUCCUCCCUCUUCCUCCGACUCCUUCCCCACACACGGCUGAACCCCAAAUCCAGCCUCACUUCCCGACUCUCUGCUGACCCAACCAUUCUCACCGGCCUCCAGUAGCUGCGCAAACACGACAAAAACUCAGCCGUCGGCCACCCCUUUGACAUACUGCCGACCAUCUAAAACAGAGAAGAAGGUGAAAUGAAAAAAGAAUAAAAAGAAGGGCUCUGCAGAAGAAACAAAUCUGAAAAAGGGAGGACCGAGAGCAGAUUUGACAAGGAAAGAAAAAUAAAAACCGACUGUUGUUUGUGUGUAUUUUUUAUUGUUACAGGUGACGGUGAUCCUUACAGCUGGCGUAGGAAGAUAGAGAAGAAGACGACGUUCCCGAUCCAC
rnacentral:lncRNA from 1 species